CUGUUGUCCCUUCCCUUCGUUUUUCUUUUUUUUCUCCCCAUGAUGGCCCCCCGUGGAAAACCAAAUCUCUAGCCCACCGUCCUUCCUCUCCACUAUUUCCAUCUAAUCCCCAUGGAAUUAUUCCAUCGUCCUUUCCUCUCUCGAAUCCCAACCAAACUAAUGUAAAGCAAGCAGGGCAUGGAUCUCAAAAAACAAGAGGGGCCAUGGAUCUGGCAUGGUUGUGCUCGGAUUCAACCUAAUCACGAUUUGGAUCAAACUCAUAAUCUUCUGACGUACAAUUUCUGGAUGCCUCAUCGAGAUCGGACUGGAGCACAACUAUGCCCAUCAGUUUCCCAGGUCACAUCUCUCCCAGGAGCAAGGGCAGCCAUCGCACAAGAAUCUGUUUCAAUUGCAGACUACAUGCUCAGAUCCAUGCCAUAGCAUAUAAAUCAUGUACGCCAUGGAUGCAUGCAUAAAUAUGUACAAUUGUGUAACCUGAUCAGCAAGCUAGGACGUCAGACAGGUAAAUAUUCAUUGGUGCAAUCAUAUCUUUCUACAAAUGUAUAGAUCUUCCACUGCCACGUUUAUCUUCUAUUCUCCACCACACGGAAGUGGAAUAUUUGUAAAACUUGUGCUGGGAUAAGCUGGUCAAUGCAAGUUAGCAAAGCGUCUGAGGAAAAAUAGACAACUGACGAGUUCUAAAAGAUUGAUGAUACUGUGAUUCAUAUUGAGUGAGUAUAUCGAAAGGAAGUAAAUGAGUACAGAUACCAUGGUUGCUAAUAGUUACAACUCUUCGAAUAUACAGGGAUAGAAAAUUUAGUUUUACACUACGGGGUGAGAAGGUCAACAAAAUUGAUGUGGAUUCGUUCUGUCAUGUACUGUCAUAGUAACAUCAAAAACUGUCCGAUAUUUUAUAUUUGUGUAUUUCAUAUUAAAAGGAAAUAAUUAAUGCUAUAUGUGUAUAUUUAUUUUACAGGAAAGUUAAUAUCAAGUGCAUACAAAGUAAUCGCUGUCAUAUAUAGGUGCUAACAGAGUUUAUGUCGAUUUGAAUACCAUCAGCUAAUCGUGUAUCUUUCUGUCUCCUGUGGAGAUGGGGGUGAAACAUAAAUUGGUUAGCAAACAGGAGAAAGAGAGAUCAAAGUAAAGACUUCAUAGCUCUUAUGGAGACGAGGCGCCGAUUUUCUGUAUGAGAAAGCAUAAUCUGGAGAGGUAUCAAUUGUAGCACUAAAUUUUUAUAUGCACUGAACACCGAGCAGAAUUCUCUGAUUGAAGAAUGAACAUGCGUGCUCUUAGCUUAUUUCCUUGGAACAAUGAUGUUAAAGUUAACAAUACAUCACCAGCCUGAAACCUAACAACUCAUCAACUUAGUUAUGACGCUAUCCUAACUGUUAAGAGAAAUAAUUGAAGAAGAUGCAGAUUAUCAUCCGGAUGAGCUCUACAAACAGCUGGUACAUGACAAUGUCUGUGUGCUGGAACGAGAAACUCACACACUAACAAAGAGCUCUCCUUCAAUACUUUCUAUGAUUGUGAUGAAAUUCUGAAGAACAAUUCCUAUGUCUGUGCUAUCACCUGGUAAUUUCCUUAGUAAGAAUACUAGGUCGUGCAGAUGGACAGGUUGACGAAUAUCGUCUGUGAUACUUCCGUUCCUCCAAUUGAUCUAUCUGGUAAUGGUCACGGGUUGGCUGGCCGUCGCUGACACCAACUAGAGGACGCAGCGGCGCAUGAUGAUCUUAUUGCUACACUUCCUAAGAGCAGCAACGUGAUUAAGUCUAUCAGAGAAGUGCUAGUUCAUGCCGAUGAGUGAUGAUUGUCAAUAUAGCUUACAUGUGGCUGCGGAAGCAUAAAAAGCACGGUAAUAAGAAAGGAUUGAUCAGGGUAACGUACUAGCAUUGCAGUUUUUGUACUGGCUCUUAAUUUAUUUGCUUUUCAGUGGAUAUUGUUGAUUCAAUUGAAGAGAUUUUUGUGCAGUUUGUAUUGUUUGACACGUUUCUGCAAAACGCAAGUAAUUGCUACAGUACCAUUUAGGUUGGUCCAGGUAAAGAUGCACGUACACAACCUUCAACUAUUUUCUUCCGGUGGGACACAAGUACAAGGAUUUAAGCACCUAGAUUGAUUCAUGGAGGAUGCACCAAACGAGGCUGGCUAGCCUAAGCUUGCUACUGGAUCGACCGGCCAGAAGAAGGGAACACACGGCCGCAAACCCAUGUCUGAAAGGGACAAGGCCGCUAAGUAAUAUAUCCCAGCUUGCUCUAACAAUUAAUUUCCUGUGCUUCCUGAUGUUAUUUACUAACUGAACUUAGGAACGCGAGAAACGUCAUAGUGUAAUAUGACUCGCUGGAGCAAGAUUAAAUUGUUGGACCAAGGUCUACAUCUAUAUUCCCUUAUGUUUUUCACUUA